rnacentral:rRNA from 1 species
CCUACGGGUGGCAGCAGUAGGGAAUCUUCCACAAUGGACGAAAGUCUGAUGGAGCAACGCCGCGUGAAUGAAGAAGGGUUUCGGCUCGUAAAGCUCUGUUAGUAGUGACGAAAGAUAUAGGUAGUAACUAGCCUGUAUUUGACGGUAAUUACUUAGAAAGUCACGGCUAACUACGUGCCAGCAGCCGCGGUAAUACGUAGGUGGCAAGCGUUGUCCGGAUUUGUUGGGUGUAAAGCGAGUGCAGGCGGUUCAAUAAGUCUGAUGUGAAAGCCUUCGGCUCAACCGGAGAAUUGCAUCAGAAACUAGUGAACUUGAGUGCAGAAGAGGAGAGUGGAACUCCAUGUGUAGCGGUGGAAUGCGUAGAUAUAUGGAAGAACACCAGUGGCGAAGGCGGCUUUCUGGUCUGCAACUGACGCUGAGGCUCGAAAGCAUGGGUAGCGAACAGGAUUAGAUACCCGUGUAGUC